rnacentral:tRNA from 1 species
GGGUUUUUGGCUCAGUGGUUAGAGCCUAGGGCUUAGGAGCGAAAGAUCCCGGGUUCGAAUCUCGGCGGAGGUA